UCUCCGUUGGUGAACCAGCGGAGGGAUCAUUACCGAGUGCAAACUCAUAACCCUUUGUGAACCUAUAUCUGUUGCUUCGGCGGCUCGCUCUCGGGCGAGCCCGCCGGUAAUAUCAGUAUCUCUGUUUGAACCCGACGAUACUUCUGAGUGUUCUUAGCGAACAGUUAAAACUUUUAACAACGGAUCUCUUGGCUCUAGCAUCGAUGAAGAAGCAGC
rnacentral:misc_RNA from 1 species